UUUUUUGGGCCUAGAAAUCCCGAUGUGAGUGGCUUUCUAACGGUGAUCGCAAUACUCUCUUCUUUCACAAUCGUACUUUAAAAAGGCGGAAAAUGAAUAGGAUUGAAGCCUUGAAGAUGGAUGGGGUUGAAUAGUGUUAUGAUGCGACAUCUCUAAAAAAUCAUGCUGUGGAUCAUUUUUCGAAUCUUUACAUAGUUGACAAUUAUUCGACUGAGGAAUUUCCUAGUAAGGGAUAUUUUCCGAAGAUUAGCCAAG
rnacentral:lncRNA from 1 species